rnacentral:rRNA from 1 species
UAAUUUGAGAGUUUGAUCCUGGCUCAGGACGAACGCUGGCGGCGUGCUUAACACAUGCAAGUCGAGCGGAGAUAC